rnacentral:ncRNA from 2 species
ACUUCAUAUCCGGGGAGCUCGCUGUUCGCUGCGGCGACGGGCGGGCUGAGAGGAAGCGCCGGUGUACGCUUCGACCCGACGAACCUGACAUGGGUAAUGCCAACGAAGGGAGUUUUAUGACGCAGAUC